AGGACUGAUUACCCCAGGCAUUACGCCUGGAAGAACCUUUUCGAGGUGUGGCUCCGCCCCCUCCAGCGACAACCCCGCCCUCAGAGACCGUGACUUUCUCAGGCUCAGAUAUGAUUGGCUGAGGCUCGUGUUUAUCUUCCUCGGUGGGCGGAGUUCCAGCAGCAGACUCUGAGCCGUCGCCCCCCCCAGCUUUGACAACUGAGAUGUCGGGUCUAGGCAACGGCCAUGUACAUGACCUCGGUCUGCUCUGUGGCUCAAAAUCUGGGUCAAUCGGGGGUACGUUUUCUUCCUCCAUUGUGCGAUACAAUCCAGAUAAUUUCAGAGGAAGGCUGGAUUUCAGAGAACUAGUUUUGAUGCGACGUUUUUAAAAACACGAUUCAAUAAACCAACAGACUGGGCGAUUAAAAGUAAGAGUACGACUAUUUGUAAGAAAAUAAUUUUAAAAUCUUGUUUAGGAACGAUUUGUUUUUUAUUGCUUAAUAUUGGAAACACUACAGUAUAAAUUAUCCGGACUAAAUUUAACCGCGACUGUCUAGAGCGUAACGGAGCACAUUCGUAAUAAUCUGAACACACCAAUAUAGCAUCAGUUAAUCUUCAGAUUGGAGAUUAAAGGGGCCAAAUAAUCUCCUUAAUAGUAACUAACAUAAACCUUCUGAUUUACAUAGAGCAAACGAGGAUAGAAGGGGGUCUCUUUGUUUAAUGUAGAAGGAACAAAGGAAAUUCCCUACACAUCUAAACAGCUGGAUUGUCAAGAGCAACUACUGAGAUAAACCACAGGAAAACACGCGCUGGAGUGACGGGAUGAUUAUGAACUUUUCUUAGAUAAUUAAACACACAGAAAAAAAAAAAUUUUUUUUUUAAAUUGUCGUUGAGGCAGUUAAGUAGGCGAACUCGCAAAACCAAUCAUAACGAGCUGUAAUUGCUAAAAUAACCACCUCCCGCUGGUUCCUAUUAUAGCAGCGAAUGGUUGAUUGGCUUUCGCAAUUAGAUUUUAGAACAAGAAAAAUACGUAAAUCUAUAAAUAAAUAUAGACCAACUUACAAACUCUACAAAAAGCGAUAAACCACCUUAAUAUGAGAGCGUCAAAUCGUACAAUAAUCUUCCUUGUAAACUUGAGUGUAUUUCUAUACUAUGUAAGAAUACUGUCCUUGUAAACGAAUUCAAGUGAAUGGGAAUUACUUGUUACAGCUGCCUGUCAAAAUCAACAAUUAUUUUAUUAAUCGGAUCUCUAGGUUAUGAAGCGGGCGAAGAUCCUUAUAUUCCCUGAAGGAUCUCCAAUGGAAUGCUGUGCGCGAGAUCCCCUGGCCCCAUGCUGUCCACAUGGUUUCCCGAUGAAAUUGCAAUCUCAUUUUUUUUUAAUUAAGAAGAUCAAGUGGAUGAAAGAUGUUUUAUGUUAGACGAUGUCGUUGUCAUGAAGUCUCGCCAUCAUCUGAAAUCGCUGGGUGGUUUGAAUUCGUUGGUAGUUUUCAAAUUAAAUUUAAGUUCAUACAUUAAAUGUAUAUUUCUGAAAAGCCACCUCGGUGGUGUUGUGUAACCUUAUCUGAAUUUAGUCAUUUUAAAAUGAAAACUCAGUCAUAAAUGCAUUGUUCUUUCUAGUUCAGCUGUUGCUCAUAUUUUAAAUGCAUGUGUCAGUGUCUCGAUAUGGAUCAGCCACCAAAACUACAAUACCCACAGGACCUUUCUAGGCAUUACCCCUUUUCCCAGAGCAUGAUGCAACUCUUCAGCCUUGCAGUGAAAGUCAAUAUUAGAAAUGUGAUUAAGUCGUUGUUGUCUGAUUAAGUAGUUGUAUUUAUUUAGAUAUCAUGUUGGUUUCUUUUGACCAGAUACACAUUCUAAUACCAUGUGUGUGUUCAGUUAAAAAAAA